rnacentral:rRNA from 1 species
ACAAGCGGUGGAGCAUGUGGUUUAAUUCGAUGCAACGCGAAGAACCUUACCUGGACUUGACAUCCCAGGAAUUCCCCUGGGAAACAGGGGAAGUGCCCUUCGGGGAGCCUGGUGACAGGUGCUGCACGGCUGUCGUCAGCUCGUGUCGUGAGAUGUUGGGUUAAGUCCCGCAACGAGCGCAACCCCUGUCUUUAAUUGCCAUCAUUAAGUUGGGCACUUUAAAGAGACUGCCGGUGUUAAACCGGAGGAAGGUGGGGAUGACGUCAAGUCCUCAUGGCCUUUAUGUCCAGGGCUACACACGUGCUACAAUGGGUGGUACAAAGAGCAGCGACCUCGCGAGUGGAAGCAAAUCUCAAAAAGCCAUCCUAAGUUCGGAUUGAAGUCUGCAACUCGACUUCAUGAAGUUGGAAUCGCUAGUAAUCGCGGAUCAGCAUGCCCGCGGUCGAAUACGUUCCCGGGCCUU